GAUCCAUUUGUUAGCUUGCUAACAGAUGGUGAGAGUGGCGCACGGGUGCGUAACGCGUGAGCAACCUACCCAUAUCAGGGGGAUAGCCCGAAGAAAUUCGGAUUAACACCGCAUAAGACUACGAGAUGGCAUCAUCAAGUAGUUAAAUAUUUAUAGGAUAUGGAUGGGCUCGCGUGACAUUAGCUAGUUGGUGAGGUAACGGCUCACCAAGGCGACGAUGUCUAGGGGCUCUGAGAGGAGAAUCCCCCACACUGGUACUGAGACACGGACCAGACUCCUACGGGAGGCAGCAGUAAGGAAUAUUGGUCAAUGGACGGAAGUCUGAACCAGCCAUGCCGCGUGCAGGAUGACUGCCCUAUGGGUUGUAAACUGCUUUUGUCGAGGAAUAAACCUAUCUACGUGUAGAUAGCUGAAUGUACUCGAAGAAUAAGGAUCGGCUAACUCCGUGCCAGCAGCCGCGGUAAUACGGAGGAUCCGAGCGUUAUCCGGAUUUAUUGGGUUUAAAGGGUGCGUAGGCGGCACUUUAAGUCAGGGGUGAAAGACGGCAGCUUAACUGUCGCAGUGCCUUUGAUACUGAAGUGCUUGAAUGCGGUUGAAGACGGCGGAAUGAGACAAGUAGCGGUGAAAUGCAUAGAUAUGUCUCAGAACACCGAUUGCGAAGGCAGCUGUCUAAGCCGUUAUUGA
rnacentral:rRNA from 1 species